ACUGGCUGUUACGUGGGCCGGAACGGAUCGGUGCUGGCCGGCGCCAGCGAUCGCUAUCACUACCAGUAUCAUCCGGCGGGAGGCAGUGCCGGUGGUCAGCCGUUGAUCGGAGGACGUGGCACGAUUGAUCCAAGUGCGAUCGCCGCCGGUGCUGGACUCCACGGCAGUGGUGAGAUGUUGGAUGUGUUCCGGGAGAUCUUAACCUUCGACUCUGUUAGGCACUGCCGGCGAUCCAGCGCUGUCCUCGGAUGAGGAGGAACUGGCCAACCUGCAGGAUGCAACCAUCCCGGAAGAUGAGUACGCGUACGCCUAAACUGCGGAGCAAGUUUAGUCAAUAUCAUACGCCCAUCACGAAAGGUUUUGGAAAUUGGCCCUUGGUAUCAAAGGAAGAGAACGGUGGCCAACUGUCCGGACGUUACGCGCAACAUUGCAUUUAAAUUACAUACUUGCCGACCACGACAAUCGAGGCCGGUGUACUACGACCUGUUGCGGAUUACCUGCCAGCUCAGUAGACACCUUUCGCUUGAGCUGACCGAACAGCGUGACUUUAACGGGUUGGACGGCCACCGAAAACUGCUUGUUUAUGAGCACUAGCACGGGUCGUAUCACACCUUGAAGGAUUAUUCUAGUGGUAGUGGAACGGCCGGACACACAAUCCCAAACGAAUCUUCGAGAACGCUUUUCCGGUCCCCUGACUGGACGCACUCAACGCUACGAGACAAAAUGUUCAACCAGUACACGGUUCCGUUCUCCCAGGCGACAUAUUUGCGCCGUCGCUCUUCGUCCAGCUCGGAUAGAUCCAGCAGCAGCGGUUUCGAUUCGUCCGACUCGGACUCAAGCUCCAGCAGUUUGUCGCGGACUUGUCCUCCCGGCGGCCGCCGACGAAGAAGCGCAUCACGGUUCGAGUUC